CACCUAUAGCCUUUAUUCGGGGAGCUAAAAAUCGACUUGCGUCACAUCGAUUUUCCGCUAGUCAAAAUUAUUUUCAAAUCUUCUGGAAAAAAUUCCAAAAUUCUGAAAAAAUUUCAAAAUUCCGGAUAAAUUUCAAAAUUUUGGAGAAAACGAGAUUCGCGCUGGAGGCUUCAGAAUGGCUUAAAAUUGUGAAAUUUGGACGUGGGAAUUUGGUUUUAGAUAGAAGUGAAAUCCAUAUUGCAAAUUUUUCAACAAUUUCUCAACAUCAAACAGAAAAUUUUGAAUUUUUUGAAAUUUUUUCUCGUUAAUGUGUCCUACAGGAAAUCUGCCCAAACGUGUAUAAACUGUUUAAACAGGAUAAAAAUAAAUCACAACUUGACUUUUCAGCUAUGCAAAGUUUUUCUCACGUUUUCCGGAUAAAUUUCAAAAUCCUUUUGCCUUUCAUCUGAAGGUACAAUAUCAAAAAUUCUAUUAGGAAAAGAAAAAAAAGGGAGCAGCUUUGAACAGUAAGCGAGUACAUGCAUAGGCCAAUAUUAGAUCCAAAAUAGUUACGUAAUAUUAACCAAUAAUAAAAAUACAAAAAUAAUAAUUUUUAACGAUGAUUGUUAAUUAUUUUCAGUUUUUCGAUCAAGGAUGUGUGAUAUUUUAAUAGGAAUUAAGCACCAGAGUCGAUUACUUACCUACCUACUUUUUUCAUUUUUAUAUCUAAAAUUCAUGGAAAGGUUUACUUUUACCUUUCUUGUACCUCUCAGAUAUCCGCAGCAGUUGAAGGAAAACUGAAGCAUGUCUAAAAUUACGAAUUUCGCGAUCAGUUUAUUGAUUGCGUAUGUUGUACUUGUCCCAGUGAACAGUCGAUUAUUGCAACCAAAUUCUGGUGAAAGAUGCAAAGCUGAAGGCAGAACCUACGGAGAUCGUAAUUCGUGUGUGGCAGAAUGUAAAAGCAAUCGCGGUUGUUAUGGCGACGGCUGCGAUGGAUAUAAAACUUGUGAUCGGAUAUAUGGAUCGAAAAACAAUCAAUAUAGUUGUUUUUGUUGGGUCAAAACGUUAUGCGAUGGUGUGGAAUGUUACGUGUGAUAAUGUAGGGAGAAAAUUUCCAACUAAUGACCAUCAGAUGCUCGUAAAUUAGGUAUUCAGUAAUCUUUUUUUCAAUCAAGAAUUUUGAAUUCAUUUUUAGCUCAUUUUUUACCAUUCCUUGAUUCUAUAAAGGAUUUAUCAUUAUACGUUUAGAAAUGUUUA